AGCAGCCGCGGUAAUUCCAGCUCCAAUAGCGUAUAUUAAAGUUGUUGCAGUUAAAAAGCUCGUAGUUGAACUUCGAGACCGGCUUACUGGGCGUGCUAUUGUACGUACUGGUAUAAUCGGUUUCUCCUUUCUGACGAACUUUAAUGCCAUUAAUUUGGUGUUUUAGGGAAUCAGGACUGUUACUUUGAAAAAAUUAGAGUGUUUAAAGCAGGCUCACGCUUGAAUACAUUAGCAUGGAAUAACGGAAUAGGACGUUUGAUUCUAUUUUGUUGGUUUCUAGGAUCGACGUAAUGAUUAAUAGGGAUAGUUGGGGGCAUUAGUAUUCAAUUGUCAGAGGUGAAAUUCUUGGAUUUAUUGAAGACUAACUACUGCGAAAGCAUUUGCCAAGGAUGUUUUCAUUAAUCAAGAACGAAAGUUAGGGGAUCGAAGACGAUCAGAUACCGUCGUAGUCUUAACCAUAAACUAUGCCGACUAGGGAUCGGAUGAUGUUAAUUUUUAAUGACUCAUUC
rnacentral:rRNA from 1 species